rnacentral:rRNA from 1 species
GAAGCAGUCACAGUUCGGAUUGAAGGCUGAAAUUCGCCUUCAUGAAGCCGGAAUUGCUAGUAAUGGCAGGUCAGCAUACUGCCGUGAAUACGUUCCCGGGCCUUGUACACACCGCCCGUCACACCAUGAGAGUUGGGAAUACCCGAAGCCUGUGAGCCAACAUAUAAUGAGGCAGCAGUCGAAGGUAGAAUCAAUGAUUGGGGUGAAGUCGUAACAAGGUAGC